CCUACGGGAGGCAGCAGUAGGGAAUCUUUCACAAUGGGCGAAAGCCUGAUGGAGCAACGCCGCGUGAAGGAUGACAGCCUUCGGGUUGUAAACUUCUUUUAUAAGCGAGAAAUAUGAUGGUAACUUAUGAAUACGGAUCGGCUAACUACGUGCCAGCAGCCGCGGCGAUACGUAGGAUCCGAGCCUUAUCCGGAGUGACUGGGUGUAAGAGUUGCGUAGGUGGGAUGAUAAGUAGCUAGUGAAAUCGGGUGGCUCAACCCUUCAGACUAUUUGCGAAACUGGUAAUCUCGAGAGCGUUAGGGGCGACUGGAAUUUCUAGUGUAGGAGUGAAAUGCGUAGAUAUCAGAAGGAACACCGAUAGCGUAGGCAGGAUGCUGGGAUGGUACUGACACUGAGGCACGAAAGCGUAGGGAGCAAACGGGAUUAGAUACCCCUGUAGUC
rnacentral:rRNA from 1 species